UUGUACCAUCUCGUUCAUCCAAUAAUUUUCGUCUCUGCUGCGCUCGUCUUCCGCUCCAUUUCUCCGUCUACCGCCCGACAUUUCGCAUCGCCGGUUUCCCCGGCGCAGUUGUGUAAAAUUUACCUAUCGGCCUCGUCGGUAUUCCAUAUUAUCGCGCGCAGUACCCUUGACGCCGCUCGUCCGAACACGCUUUUUCACCGUGUUUCUC